UUUUCCCGUUUACUGAGGUAUUUUGGUGCUUGAUGGCUAUGGUUGUAAAUAUUAAAGUUUCGGUGUGAGAUAUGUAGAAACUUGAGGAUCGUGUGGCGCUUAGUUGUUAGGAUCUCACCAUCUCUGGCAAUCGGAGCAGACAAAGCUUCACUACUUCUUCUCACAGUUUGAUCUUGAUCCGCCACUCUUAAUGGGCACAAGAAGUUUUUAUACUACCACACACAACAGAGUCUUGCCCGCUCGCUCCAGCCAUACCACUUUAGAUCGCGAGAUGUAUGAUAAGUUGUUGACAAAAUGUGCACUACUAUGUUGAAGAACAAACAAGAUAAGAAUAUGGAUACCAAGCACGAGCUUUUAAGGAGAGCACAUCCAAGAUGCUCAAGGCCACUUUCAUUGCUACGAAGUUCCUUCGUUUCUGAGAAUUUAGUACAUGAGUUUCAAUGUAGUUGCAAAAGUUUUCUUUAGCGAAAGAACCCAAACCGAAAAUUUUUGCACUAUGUUGCGUGGGAAAAGAUGUGCCAACCGACGCUGCUUGGAGGUUGCACUUUCAUGCCAUCUAGAGAUGGAAGGGACCUUUAUCGUUUGGCAUUUUUUCAAAGAUCAAGUUUCUCUUCUACAGCAAUGCCCUGAGUGCAAGUAUGGAAGAAAUAUUUGGCAACUAAACUAUAAAGGAACUACUUUUGCUUGGAAGGUGAUUUGCGAUGGAGCUGCUGCUCUUAAGACCAUUACCCGGUGGAAAAUUAAAUAUGUGGAGAGUACCGGUAUACAUGAUGAUGUUUGGAUAUAUGAUAGGCCCCUUGCCAAAUGGCCUUCCUUUCUUAAUGUUAAUAUUUUCGAAAAUCUUCAACUUGCUGCUUUAAUUGCUGAUGGGCAAUGGAAGCAGGAUUUUGUUAAAGACUGUUUUGGCGAGGAAAUGGCAGCGCGCAUCCUGCCGAUCCCAAUUUUUAGGGAGCUAAGAGGAUAUUUUAAAGCUGAUUUCGGAACAUUACGGGAAUAAUAUCACUGUUCUAGCUUAUGAAACCAGAUUUGCGGUUAGUAGUGAGGAUUUUAACUUGCUCAAGAAACUCUAUUUGCACCCUCGGGAAAGAAUGUUUUGGUGGUGGAUGGUUCAUAAUGCGAUUCCAACCAAAAGUGGCUUGUGAAGGGUGGGCUUGCGGAGAUUUUACUCAGCCCCUGGGGCUGCCAAGAGCUUGAAAAUAGAUCCCAUAUCGUGUCUAAUUGUUUGUUGCUCAGUUCGGUGACACAAUUACUUUCUGUUUGGGGAUUCUCUUUACAACACUAUGCUAGUAUAACAGAUGCUCUGCAAGGGCUUUCUCAGGUUUGCCACACUGAUAUCUCCCUUGCUCGUUUGUUUUGUUAUGCUGUUCACCAUUGUUGGAGAGCUAGGAAUGCAAAGGUUCAUGGACAAGCGCAUGAAACCCCGACUAAUAUGCUGUCUCAAUCCUUAAAGCCCUCAGCAAUGCACAUAUUUUUCCAUUCUGGAGGCAGUGGGAUGCGAGGCAACCUAACCAGUUGUUUUCUUCCUCCUUUUGGCAUCCCUUCUUCUCCUGGAUGGAUUAAGAUUAAUGUUGAUGGUAUGCUUUCAUCUUCCGGUAUUGUUGGUACAGGUGCUAUUAUCGGAGAUGAACAAGGCAACUGCCUUGCUGCUAUGGGCCGCAAUUUUGAGCAUUAGGACGUUGCUAGGGUCAAGCUACAGGCUCUUCUUGCCCUCCAACAAAUCAUGAAGCCACGGAUGUUUGAAUGUAAGGGUGCUAUUAUUGAAAGCGGAACUAUCAAUAUCAUCCAGCUUUUGAGUAACUCGGCAACUAGGAAAUUUUGGGAAGGUUACCCCAGCCUUAGCCAGGAAAUUGCCUCUUUGGCCUCUUUCAAACUGGUGCCUUUUCUUCACAUCAAGAGUGACGGCAACAGGGAAGCUCACUUUUGUGUUUCUUUAGCCUUAGAAAAUUUUCUUUGAAACUUGUAAAUGAUUAUAGUGAUCC